GACGAACGCUGGCGGCGUGCUUAACACAUGCAAGUUGAACGGAAAGGCCCUGCUUUUGUGGGGUGCUCGAGUGGCGAACGGGUGAGUAACACGUGAGUAACCUGCCCUUGACUUUGGGAUAACUUCAGGAAACUGGGGCUAAUACCGGAUAGGAGCUCCUGCUGCAUGGUGGGGGUUGGAAAGUUUCGGCGGUUGGGGAUGGACUCGCGGCUUAUCAGCUUGUUGGUGGGGUAGUGGCUUACCAAGGCUUUGACGGGUAGCCGGCCUGAGAGGGUGACCGGCCACAUUGGGACUGAGAUACGGCCCAGACUCCUACGGGAGGCAGCAGUGGGGAAUAUUGCACAAUGGGCGGAAGCCUGAUGCAGCAACGCCGCGUGCGGGAUGACGGCCUUCGGGUUGUAAACCGCUUUCGCCUGUGACGAAGCGUGAGCGACGGUAAUGGGUAAAGAAGCACCGGCUAACUACGUG
rnacentral:rRNA from 1 species